rnacentral:lncRNA from 1 species
GUCUGGAUGGCUAGGCCUCCCUUCCGCUGGGGUCAAGUCCCCACCCCUGAAUGUAAUGAACUAAGCAUAGGUUAAUCUCCUGCAGGCCGAGGACCAUGCUGGGCACGGCAGAGAGGCAGAGGGUGUUCAGAGCAGCCUCUCCUUUCAUCAGCCUGUGGAGAAGAGGAAGGGAAAAUUGUGUUUACAGUUCUGCCUCAUGCUCAGCCCUGUGCCAGGGCAUCACUGAGAUUUUAUUUCAUGUGAAAAACACUGCUCUAACCUGGUGUCAUUCUUUCUGUUUUAUAGAGAAAGAAACUAAGGCUCAGGGAUGCUCCAUAAGUGGCCCAAGCCAUGGCUGAGAGAGGGUGGGCCAGACGUUUAUAAAGGAGGAUGAUGAAACCCAGCCCGGCCCCUGUGACGCUCUUGGUUUUGAUCCAUGGCAUUAAAGCAAGGUGCUGGGAUGAUCUAGAAGAGCUUAAGAGGCUCUCAUCUCCCAGUCUGAAGACUUGGUCUUUCUCCUUCGAGGUUACAGUGGCUGAUGCAGCUGGGCGAGGAGCAGCUCUUGGGCCUGGGAGGGGAACUUCUCACUACUGGGAACUCCGACUCCACACGGCUGAAGAAGCUGGAAAUGGAUCUCUAUGGCUUUGAGCCACUGCAGUUUCAAAUCUGCUGAUGACAGUGGCUGAGCCUACGCUAACACACACAGAAGUUCUGCCAACAAUAAUCACUCUGGGACAUAACCACAGACUGUCUUUCACUGAUACAUACGUGAGGUGCGUGUACCUGCAAUAGCUUCACCUAAAUUCUAAGGCCUGGAAGAGAAGGGCCGCUUAUGCUUCAGUAUUUAGGACAGCAUUUGCCCUUAGUUAUGAAAGCAUUUGUGUAAGUUCUGGGUUCCUUCUUCCUUAAAUGCUUGAAAGGUUUCACUGGCAAACUUUUCUGGCCUGAAUUUGUGGGUGUGAAGGUUUUCAAUCACAUACUUAAUUUCUCUAAUACUUAUUGAAAGUAAUCUGAUUUGUUUGAUUACGCCACUCUAAAGCACAAUCUUUAAAAAGCUGGACUUUUCUGGGAAUCUGUCUGUCUUAUGUAAUUAUUCAAAUUCACUGACUGACGUAAUUGUUCUGUUAGAGGUUUUAUGAGCUGCAUGGUCUGUACCGAUGUUGCCUUUUUUGUUAUCUUGGUAACUGAAAUAGUCUUUCUUUCCUUUUUCAAAAAAUCAGUCUCUCCAGGGGUUAAAGUAUUUAUUUAAUUAAUUAUUCAUUUAAUGUUUUAAGAAGCAACUCUUGACUUGAUAACUGUCUCUACUAAGCACUUGCUUCUAUUUCACUAAUUUCUGCUUGUGUACUUAUGUUGUUUUCUAAUUCUUGUAUUGAAGCACUUAGCAUGGUUCCGGGUAGAUAGUAACUUCCCUGUAAAUGUUAGCAUCACUACUGUAAAGAAAUGUCUCAAUUCAGGGUGUCUGUUGUACGAUAUUAUUAAACAUGAGAACUUCUACAACUUCUCUGGUGAUGAGAUCUUAGAAAACAUUAAAUCCAUUUGUCCCAUUCAAACUCUUACUAUUAUCAUUAUACACUUAAGUCUGUGUGUAUUUGAAAGCAUAUAUCAUUAUUAAUGUGUAAAAUUAACAUUUAUAUUUAUUAAUAUGAAUACAAGAUCCAAUAUAAAUGUAUUAAUAUAAUAUGGAUUUGUAUAGAUUUUUUAUUACUUAUUAUUCCUUCUGAAAUCUUUAUGUUUCCACCUGGAGAUAUAAUCCUUCUGCUGAAAAAUUCCGUUAAGUACUUUACUGACUGUGGAUCUUCCAGUAAUGAAUUAUCUCCAUUCGUGUGUAUCUAAAGAUGUUUUACUUUCACUUUCAUGUCUGAAGCAUUUGGCAGUAACUUUCUUUUACUACUUCGGAGUGGUCAUCCGUUGUCUCCUAGCAUCUGUUGCUCUGUUGAAGCAUUAGCUAAUUGCAUUAUUGUUGUUUCUUUGGGAGGAAAUUGUAUUUUUUUGUUGUUGUUCUUAAGUUCUAGUAUUUGAUAGUAUAAUAGGAAAAUUACAGAAAAUAUAAUACAAUACAAUUUUUAGUAAAUAUAAUACAAUUUUUCUCUAAUUAUUUUGAAAUAUAGAAUAAAUAACAAUAUAUUUAAAUAUUAUAUUUAAUAUGUAAUAUUAAUAUUUGAAAAAUAAUAUAAUAUUUGAAAAAUAAUUAUAGUUUUCAAAAUAACUAGAAAAGAAAAAUUGUAAUGCUCCCAGUACAAAGAAAAUAUACAUACCUGAGGUGGUGGAAAUCCCAGAUACACUGAUGUGGUUAUUACACGUUCUGUGGAUGUGUCGCAAUCACAUGUAUCCCCAAAUUGUGUAUAACUAUGAUAUAUCAAUAAAAAUAGGAAAAACUUAAAAAUAAUGCUUUUAUAACUGCUUUUUAGUAAUUUAGGUUUGAGGUGAUGGGGUAUCUUUUAAAAAAGUCUUUCUUGGGCUGGGCAUGGUGGCUCAUGCCUGUAAUUACAGCACUUUGGAAGGCCAAGGCAGGUGGAUCACCUGAGGUCAAGUGUUUGAGACCAGCCUGGCCAACAUGGUGAAACCUCAUCUCUACUAACAAUACAAAAAAAAAAAAAAAAAUGAGCUGAGUGUGGUUGCAUGAGCCUGUACUCCCAGCUACUCAGAGAGGCUGAGGCAGGAGAAUUGCUUGAACCUGGUAGUACACAAAUGUUGCAGUGAGCCAAGAUCAUGCCACUGCACUCCAGCCUGGGUGACAGAGGGAGACUCCAUCUCAAACAAAAACAAAAACAAAAUUAUACAUACAUAUCUAUAUAUCUAUCUAUAAUCUAUAUAUCUAUAUCUAUCUAUCUAUCUAUCUAUCUAUCUAUCUAUCUAUCUAUCUAUUUUGGAGUUCUUUCUUUCUUCUUCUUUUUUUUUUUUUGUUUGAGAUAGAGUCUUGCUCUGUCACCAGGCUGGAGUGCAGUGGCAUGAUCUCAGGUCACUGCAACCUCUGCCUCCUGGGUUCAAGCAAGUCUCCUGCCUCAGCCUCCUGAGUAACUAGAACUACAGGUGUGCACCACAAAGCCCAGCUAAUUUUUGUAUUUUUAUUAGAGACGGGGUUUCACCAUGUUGACCAGGAUGGUCUCGAUCUCUUGACCUCGUGAUCUACCUG